rnacentral:piRNA from 1 species
UGGAGAUUACUUUAUCCGAGA